UCCAUUGACAGCCAGGCUCCUUCUUGUGCUUGCCUCGGCAGGGGAGAAAUACGAACUGCAUGCAGGAACCGAGUCCACCCCUAG
rnacentral:miRNA from 1 species